rnacentral:lncRNA from 1 species
GGAGAAGAAAUGAAGAAAAUCAUGCCUUGUUGGACUGUGGUAAGGAGUAGCCCAUUUCCAAGGCCCAGAUGCGAGCCUUCUCUGUGCCGUAGGUAGGUGGUGACGUGUCACAGCAUUUCUUGACGACGAAACAGUCGGAUUUGUUUUGAGAGAGACCUUUGUUCAUCCUCUUCCUCUCUCUCGCAAAUGAUUCUCUUUGUUUAGUCUGAAACCGUGGAACCUUCUUAGCUGCUUCGAUUUCACUUCCUCCUAGCUUUGCUAACUGUGAAAUAUAUAAUUUAUUUAGGGGUAGAGACGAACGGAUUGAGUCACUCAAAACAGAGGAUGAACUGAUCAUUUUUCACAAAAAUCCAUUGAUUCUUACCAUUGAUAAGUGUUUUGUUGCAGAGAGCGACCAUUGUCGGCUUUAUUACUUCAAUGUUGAGUCUUUCAAGAAGGAGAAGAAGAUAAGAGGAUUACUUUUUGGCUUUUUUGGUUUUCGUUUCUCGAAGAAGAAGAAGAAGAACUGAAGAAGAAUAGAGAAUUCUGAUUUCUCAAUAAUGAAAAAAGAAGAGAUGCAUGAGAUGAGAGAGCCAAAAAGGAAACUUUCGAUUUUGUUUGGUUAUUUUCAUUUUCU